ensembl:snoRNA
AUCCAUGACUCCAUGGGGGCUGCCGUCCGUGGCUGUCUCCCUUCCUAGGCAUGGAAGAGCAGCUCCUUGCUGAUUGGCAUAACUUUUACCGUCUUGUGGGUAUUAGUCGUUGACUGUAGCAAGUAACAGGC